rnacentral:lncRNA from 1 species
CGAUGAGAAAGCAACUCCUCUCCCCAUUCGUUCCUUUCUUGAUGUUCUUCCUCUACGGCUCCACGACUGUUGCUCAAACCCCAUCACCAGCACCUUCAGGUCCAACCAACAUCACCGCAAUCCUCGAGAAGGCUGGUCAGUUCACAACCUUGAUUCGGUUAAUGAAAAGCACCCAAGAGGCUGACCAAAUCAACACACAACUAAACAACUCAAACCAAGGCCUAACAGUAUUUGCACCACCUGACAACGCCUUUACUAACCUCAAAGCAGGCACGCUGAAUUCACUCAGCGAUCAACAAAAGGUCCAACUGGUGCAAUUCCACAUCAUUCCAAAUUUCUUUUCCAUGUCAAGCUUCCAAACUGUGAGUAAUCCCUUGCGUACUCAGGCCGGUAACAGUGCCGACGGCGAGUUCCCGCUAAAUGUGACAACAUCAGGGAAUCAAGUGAACAUAACAACAGGGGUUAAUACUGCAACAGUGGCUAACACUAUAUUCACUGAUGGCCAGUUAGUUGUGUAUCAGGUGGAUCAGGUCCUUCUGCCAUUAGAUCUCUUUGGUACAGCGGCAGCACCAGCACCUGCACCUUCAAAGCCUGAUAAAGAUGUUCCAGCCAAAGCUCCUGCAGGGUCAAAGGAAGAUGCCUCUGUUGAUGCUUCAGGUGCAACCAUUGCAACUGUAUCUGUCAGUGUCGUGCUGAUCGCAGCAAUUUCAUUGAAGCUAUGAGUUUUUGUUUUCGGAAAUUGAUAAGGAGUUCUUGUUUUAUUGAUCUGUUGUGAUUUGAACUGAGGUGGAUUAUUCUUUGGUUACUCUCCCUCUCC